rnacentral:rRNA from 1 species
GAAUUCGCCCUUAGAGUUUGAUCCUGGCUCAGGAUGAACGCUGGCGGCGUGCUUAACACAUGCAAGUCGAACGGGGUACCUCUGAAGGAGACUUCGGUCAACGGAAGGGAAUACCUAGUGGCGGACGGGUGAGUAACGCGUGAGGAACCUGCCUUGGAGUGGGGAAUAACAGUUGGAAACAGCUGCUAAUACCGCAUAAUGCACUGAGGUCGCAUGACCAUAGUGCCAAAGAUUUAUUGCUCUGAGAUGGACUCGCGUCCGAUUAGAUAGUUGGCGGGGCAACGGCCCACCAAGUCGACGAUCGGUAGCCGGACUGAGAGGUUGGCCGGCCACAUUGGGACUGAGACACGGCCCAGACUCCUACGGGAGGCAGCAGUGGGGAAUAUUGGGCAAUGGGCGAAAGCCUGACCCAGCAACGCCGCGUGAAGGAAGAAGGCCCUCGGGUUGUAAACUUCUUUUAUCAGGGACGAAGGAAGUGACGGUACCUGAUGAAUAAGCCACGGCUAACUACGUGCCAGCAGCCGCGGUAAUACGUAGGUGGCAAGCGUUAUCCGGAUUUACUGGGUGUAAAGGGCGUGUAGGCGGGUAUACAAGUCAGAUGUGAAAACCAUGGGCUCAACCCAUGGCCUGCAUUUGAAACUGCGUAUCUUGAGUGAUGGAGAGGCAGGCGGAAUUCCGUGUGUAGCGGUGAAAUGCGUAGAUAUACGGAGGAACAUCAGUGGCGAAGGCGGCCUGCUGGACAUUAACUGACGCUGAGGCGCGAAAGCGUGGGGAGCAAACAGGAUUAGAUACCCUGGUAGUCCACGCUGUAAACGAUCGAUACUAGGUGUGGGGGGACUGACCCUCUCCGUGCCGCAGCAAACGCAAUAAGUAUCGCACCUGGGGAGUACGAUCGCAAGGUUGAAACUCAAAGGAAUUGACGGGGGCCCGCACAAGCGGUGGAGUAUGUGGUUUAAUUCGAUGCAACGCGAAGAACCUUACCAGGGCUUGACAUGGGGAUGACGAGGGUAGAGAUACCCUUUCUCUUCGGAGCAUCCCACACAGGUGGUGCAUGGUUGUCGUCAGCUCGUGUCGUGAGAUGUUGGGUUAAGUCCCAUAACGAGCGCAACCCCUGCCGUCAGUUGCCAUCGGGUAGAGCCGGGCACUCUGUCGGGACUGCCGCCGUAAGGUGUGAGGAGGGUGGGGACGACGUCAAAUCAGCACGGCCCUUACGUCUGGGGCGACACACGUGUUACAAUGGCGGGUACAGAGGGAAGCGGGGCGGCGACGCCGAGCGGAUCCUCAAAGCCCGCCCCAGUUCGGACCGGAGCCUGCAACCCGGCUCCGCGAAGUUGGAUUCGCUAGUAAUCGCGCAUCAGCCAUGGCGCGGUGAAUACGUUCCCGGGCCUUGCACACACCGCCCGUCA